rnacentral:rRNA from 1 species
AUUGAACGCUGGCGGCAGGCCUAACACAUGCAAGUCGAAUGGUAACAGGAAACAGCUUGCUGUUUCGCUGACGAGUGGCGGACGGGUGAGUAAUGUCUGGGAAACUGCCUGAUGGAGGGGGAUAACUACUGGAAACGGUAGCUAAUACCGCAUAACGUCGCAAGACCAAAGAGGGGGACCUUCGGGCCUCUUGCCAUCAGAUGUGCCCAGAUGGGAUUAGCUAGUAGGUGGGGUAACGGCUCACCUAGGCGACGAUCCCUAGCUGGUCUGAGAGGAUGACCAGCCACACUGGAACUGAGACACGGUCCAGACUCCUACGGGAGGCAGCAGUGGGGUAUAUUGCACAAUGGGCGCAAGCCUGAUGCAGCCAUGCCGCGUGUAUGAAGAAGGCCUUCGGGUUGUAAAGUACUUUCAGCGGGGAGGAAGGGAGUAAAGUUAAUACCUUUGCUCAUUGACGUUACCCUCAGAAGAAGCACCGGCUAACUCCGUG